rnacentral:rRNA from 1 species
AUUGAACGCUGGCGGCAUGCCUUACACAUGCAAGUCGAACGGUAACGCGGGGCAACCUGGCGACGAGUGGCGAACGGGUGAGUAAUGCAUCGGAACGUGCCCAGUAGUGGGGGAUAGCCCGGCGAAAGCCGGAUUAAUACCGCAUACGACCUACGGGUGAAAGCGGGGGACCGCAAGGCCUCGCGCUAUUGGAGCGGCCGAUGUCAGAUUAGGUUGUUGGUGGGGUAAAGGCCUACCAAGCCGACGAUCUGUAGCUGGUCUGAGAGGACGACCAGCCACACUGGGACUGAGACACGGCCCAGACUCCUACGGGCGGCAGCAGUGGGGAAUUUUGGACAAUGGGGGCAACCCUGAUCCAGCCAUGCCGCGUGUGGGAAGAAGGCCUUCGGGUUGUAAACCGCUUUUGUCAGGGAAGAAACGCUCUGAGCUAAUACCUCGGGGUAAUGACGGUACCUGAAGAAUAAGCACCGGCUAACUACGUGCCAGCCGCCGCGGUAA